ensembl:processed_transcript 2310014F06Rik RIKEN cDNA 2310014F06 gene
GGGAGGAGGAGCCCGGAUCGGCGCGGACCCCGAAGGGGCCGGGCGCCGGGGGAGUCACCCGGCUGCAGGCUCUAGGCUGCGCGCCGAACGCUCUCCCCACCCGCGAUCGCGCCAAACUCGGCGCUUCCCAAGCAAGGAGCGAGAUAACCUCCCAUUAACACCAGCGAACAAGACAGAGAGCAGAAGAAGCCAGAGGCAGUUAAAAGCACUUGCUGCUCUGCAGAGGACCAGGCUCCUGUCAGGUUCCCCACACGGUUGCUUUCAACAGUCUGUAACUCCAGUUCUGGGAGCACCAGGCACAAACACGGUGUACACAUGCAGAUCCAGUCUUCUAGAAUCCUUCCUGAGAUACAAUAUGAGUCCCCUCCUCCAGAGACAAGCAAUGAAGCCAGGAUCUAGAUUUCUUCAAGAUUGGUCUGUGCCAACAUUGGCUGGGUAUUGUUUUUCUUUUCUGUGAUUUGUUGGUGGGUAUAACUGAUAGCAUUGUGUAUAAUUUAGGUAUACAAUGUAGUGAUUUGAUACAAGUGUAAACUGUAAAGUAGUUACAACAAUGAAGUAAAUUACUAUGUUAUCAUUUCAUAGCAUUACUAUUAUUUGGGUGUUGUAUGUUGAAAAUACAUGUAUAUUUUUUAAAAAGAUUUAUUACUUUAUUAUUUGUUUAUU